GAUGAAGAACGUAGCGAAAUGCGAUAAGUAAUGUGAAUUGCAGAAUUCAGUGAAUCAUCGAAUCUUUGAACGCACAUUGCGCCCGCCAGUAUUCUGGCGGGCAUGCCUGUUCGAGCGUCAUUACAACCCUCAGGCCCCCGGGCCUGGCGUUGGGGAUCGGCGGAGCCCCCCGUGGGCACACGCCGUCCCCCAAAUGCAGUGGCGGUCCCGCCGCAGCUUCCAUCGCGUAGUAGCUAACACCUCGCGACUGGAGAGCGGCGCGGCCACGCCGUAAAACACCCAACUCUUCUGAAGUUGACCUCGAAUCAGGUAGGAAUACCCGCUGAACUUAAGCAUAUCAACAAGCGGAGGA
rnacentral:misc_RNA from 1 species